rnacentral:misc_RNA from 1 species
AAGUGUGUUGGGAGUUUAUUGAUAAGAUAUAGUAAAUAGAUAAUUUAAAUGAGUUAUUUAAUAUUAUAUGAGAUUUUAAUAUUUUAUGAUAUUUGAAAAGUUUGUUGGUAGAUAUUAAAGUGUAAAUAGAAUUAUAAAAUAGUUUAUAUAUUUUAGUUUUAAUAAAUGUGAUUUUUGUAGGGAAGUUAUUUUUUGUUUUAUGUGUAUAUAUUAAAU